rnacentral:rRNA from 1 species
GACGAACGCUGGCGGCGUGCUUAACACAUGCAAGUCACGGGGGGGUCGGCAAGACUCAACCGGCGGACGGGUGCGUAACACGUGAGCGACCUGCCUGACUGCGGGGGGAGUAGCCGGGCCCAACGGCCGGGUAAUACCGCAUACGCUCCCUGGGGUACGAUGCCUGGGGGAGGAAACCUCGGUUCACGCCCGGGGCGGUCAGAGGGGCUCGCGGCCUAUCAGCUAGUUGGUUGGGGUAACGGCCCACCAAGGCGACGACGGGAGCUGGUCUGAGAGGAUGGCCACGCC